UCUUCACCAGCUCUUGAUGGGGUGAGAGGAGCGACUGUCAAAGGGGUGGUUUGGUCUGCAGGACACUUGCUGUGGAAGGAGUAAGAGAAUCGAGUGUGUGAUUGGUAUUCUUGGAAAUUGGUCCAACAGUCUUUCCAGGCUCUGGCCCUUGAGCUGCCUGUUUGGCCUUGGAGACUUCUGACACAGAGCAAUUUCCCUGCUAAAAUCUUCUGCAAGGUCUUGGCAGGGCUUAAAAAAGAGUUACUUCUGCUGCUUCUGGGUGACAGAAUUGAUCCUGAUUUUGAGAGGAUGUACUACUAGGCUUUAAACUUUCCUGUCCUCUGCAAGAAGACACUUUGUUCUUUGAAAGGACAAAUGCCUUAUUCAAAUCUCUGAUGAUUAUGCUGAU